rnacentral:lncRNA from 12 species
AUGAGGAGAAAUGUGGACAUGUUGGCCAAGCUGGUCAUUUUCAUGGCGGAUCUUACACUUGCUUUGGCCAUUUUUGGUAUCCUCUAUGCUCUUUCCCUAAUAGCAACCACAGGUAUAUUCAUCUCUGUCCUCUUCUAUAUUUUCAAAGGGAUGGAUAAAAACUGUGACUUCAGCAAGGGAAGAAUCCAGGUGCCAGAUUCCAGCAGUGCUCCUGGGAAGGCAUUUGCAGGCAACAUGGAGAGUCAGGUCUGGAAUGCUCCCCACCUAUUUUCUGGCUGCAAGAGAAGAGGCCCAAGGAGUGUGUUUUUGUCUGCUAGAGAGCGAGGAGCCCUCUAUGGUGGAGGAGGUGUGCAACCGGACCUACCAGAACACCGCACCCACCCAACUGAGAGGUCAUUCAAACUGCCAUCUACACGUGAAUAACAAGGAAAUUCUCAUAAACAAGCAAACAUACCCAAGAGGCAUGAAGAGUUCUAAUACUUCAAAAAUGCGGAAGGGUCUUACGACAGUACAGAUGCAGAAAAGAUGGAUUUGAGAGCAGUAAAAACUCAACCUUGGAGAGGAUUAACAUGCUAUUCAACAAUAGGGUACUGAAACUUGUCAAAAUGCCUUUGGAGCUUGAAAUACCUAGAGCUGCCAAAAUAUUCAAGAAUGAAAUUGAAAAACGUUUCUUCAAAAUGCCUUAGCCAACCAAACAUGAACAUAUUUGCUAUCAUGGCAAAACUGACCAUUGCUUUUGCUGGUCUCAGCCUGGGCCAAGUUGGGCAUCCUUCACUGCCCCACUGGAGACCAGUGUCAAGUCCAUGCUUCCUUACACUUUGCCCAUCACGCCCUGUCAAUAUUGUACUUGUCACAGAUCACAUUCUCUGUUUUAUAUGCUUUGGUUAUUUGCUGUUUUUCCUACUUCAUCCUUAGAUUAUCCAUAAGCUUUAGCAACUGUAUCUCAGCUGCUCCGUGUUGUCAACAGUGCCAAUUCAAGUGCUGUGAUUCUUAAUAACCACGUGUCUGAAUCAAUAAAUACCAAUGAAAUCUACA